AGAGUUUGAUCCUGGCUCAGGACGAACGCUGGCGGCGCGCUUAACACAUGCAAGUCGAGCGAGAACCAGUCCUUCGGGACUGGGGACAGCGGCGAACGGGUGAGUAACACGUAGGUAAUCUGCCCUCGGCACCGGAAUAGCCCGGGGAAACCCGGAUUAAUGCCGGAUGGCCUCUCUGCCCUACGGGGCGGCGAGAAAAGGUAGCUUCGGCCUCCGGCCGAGGAUGAGCCCGCGGCCGAUUAGCUUGUUGGUGAGGUAACGGCUCACCAAGGCGACGAUCGGUAGCUGGUCUGAGAGGACGAUCAGCCACACUGGGACUGAGACACGGCCCAGACUCCUACGGGAGGCAGCAGUGGGGAAUCUUGCGCGAUGGGCGAAAGCCUGACGCAGCGACGCCGCGUGCGGGAAGAAGGCCUUCGGGUUGUAAACCGCUUUCAGGAGGGACGAAGCCACUCGGGUAAAUAGCCUAGAGGGUGACCGGACCUCCAGAAGAAGCCCCGGGCUAACUACGUGCCAGCAGCCGCGGUA
rnacentral:rRNA from 1 species